CCUACGGGAGGCAGCAGUGAGGAAUAUUGGUCAAUGGACGAGAGUCUGAACCAGCCAAGUAGCGUGAAGGAUGACUGCCCUAUGGGUUGUAAACUUCUUUUAUAUGGGAAUAAAAUGUUCCACGUGUGGGAUUUUGUAUGUACCAUAUGAAUAAGGAUCGGCUAACUCCGUGCCAGCAGCCGCGGUAAUACGGAGGAUCCGAGCGUUAUCCGGAUUUAUUGGGUGUAAAGGGAGCGUAGGUGGGUUGGUAAGUCAGUUGUGAAAGUUUGCGGCUCAACCGUAAAAUUGCAGUUGAAACUGGAAGUCUUGAGUACAGUAGAGGUGGGCGGAAUGCGUGGUGUAGCGGUGAAAUGCUUAGAUAGCACGAAGAACUCCGAUUGCGAAGGCAGCUCACUGGACUGCAACUGACACUGAGGCUCGAAAGUGUGGGUAUCAAACAGGAUUAGAUACCCCAGUAGUC
rnacentral:rRNA from 1 species